rnacentral:rRNA from 1 species
UACGAAGGGGGCUAGCGUUGUCCGGAAUCAUUGGGCGUAAAGAGCGUGUAGGCGGCCCGGUAAGUCCGCUGUGAAAGUCCAGGGCUCAACCCUGGGAUGCCGGUGGAUACUGUCGGGCUCGAGUCCGGAAGAGGAGUGUGGAAUUCCUGGUGUAGCGGUGAAAUGCGCAGAUAUCAGGAAGAACACCCGUGGCUAAGGCGGCUCUCUAGUACGGUACUGACGCUGAGACGCGAAAGCGUGGGGAGCGAACAGG